CGUCAAGAUCGGAGGCAAACCUUCAUCGAAUCUAACAUCCACGACGGCUCCGAUCACCUGGCACACCUGCCCGAUGGCUCCAGCGCCUGUGAACUCGUCUGUAAUCUUGCCGCUGGGACCAGCCCCCUUGGCGGCAGAGGGAGUUGAGGCCGCAGGAGCGGCGGCGGAGGCGGAGCUGGCAUAGUUAGCCGCGCGGGCGAGGAGGUGGCCGACAGGAGAAGGACGAGGGAGUGGAGAUCUAGGGUUGGAGAGUACGGACCUGGAGAUCGGACGGCGGACGGAGGUCCGGAGAAGAGAUGAGAGAAGCUUUCGAGAAG
rnacentral:lncRNA from 1 species